AGAGUUUGAUCAUGGCUCAGAUUGAACGCUGGCGGCAUGCCUUACACAUGCAAGUCGAACGGCAGCACGGGAGCAAUCCUGGUGGCGAGUGGCGAACGGGUGAGUAAUACAUCGGAACGUGCCCUGUCGUGGGGGAUAACUAGUCGAAAGAUUAGCUAAUACCGCAUACGACCUGAGGGUGAGAGCGGGGGACCGUAAGGCCUCGCGCGAUAGGAGCGGCCGAUGUCUGAUUAGCUAGUUGGUGAGGUAAGAGCUCACCAAGGCGACGAUCAGUAGCUGGUCUGAGAGGACGAUCAGCCACACUGGGACUGAGACACGGCCCAGACUCCUACGGGAGGCAGCAGUGGGGAAUUUUGGACAAUGGGGGCAACCCUGAUCCAGCAAUGCCGCGUGUGUGAAGAAGGCCUUCGGGUUGUAAAGCACUUUUGUCCGGAAAGAAAUCCCCUGGGAUAAUACCUCGGGGGGAUGACGGUACCGGAAGAAUAAGCACCGGCUAACCACGUGCCAGCAGCCGCGGUAAUACGUAGGGUGCGAGCGUUAAUCGGAAUUACUGGGCGUAAAGCGUGCGCAGGCGGUUUUGUAAGACAGGCGUGAAAUCCCCGAGCUCAACUUGGGAAUGGCGCUUGUGACUGCAAGGCUAGAGUAUGUCAGAGGGGGGUAGAAUUCCACGUGUAGCAGUGAAAUGCGUAGAGAUGUGGAGGAAUACCGAUGGCGAAGGCAGCCCCCUGGGACGUCACUGACGCUCAUGCACGAAAGCGUGGGGAGCAAACAGGAUUAGAUACCCCGGUA
rnacentral:rRNA from 1 species